AGAGUUUGAUCCUGGCUCAGGACGAACGCUGGCGGCGUGCUUAACACAUGCAAGUCGAACGGAAAGGCCCUGCUUUUGUGGGGUGCUCGAGUGGCGAACGGGUGAGUAACACGUGAGUAACCUGCCCUUGACUUUGGGAUAACUUCAGGAAACUGGGGCUAAUACCGGAUAGGAGCUCCUGCUGCAUGGUGGGGGUUGGAAAGUUUCGGCGGUUGGGGAUGGACUCGCGGCUUAUCAGCUUGUUGGUGGGGUAGUGGCUUACCAAGGCUUUGACGGGUAGCCGGCCUGAGAGGGUGACCGGCCACAUUGGGACUGAGAUACGGCCCAGACUCCUACGGGAGGCAGCAGUGGGGAAUAUUGCACAAUGGGCGGAAGCUUGAUGCAGCAACGCCGCGUGCGGGAUGACGGCCUUCGGGUUGUAAACCGCUUUCGCCUGUGACGAAGCGUGAGUGACGGUAAUGGGUAAAGAAGCACCGGCUAACUACGUG
rnacentral:rRNA from 1 species